AUGUUUUCCCCUCAGGAAGAAACGUCCAGAGAGACUCGUCCAUGGACGCGACAAUGCUGGUUCUGGUACUGUGCCAUAAUGAGAAGAAACGUCCAGAGAGACUCGUCCAUGGACGCGACAAUGCUGGUUCUGGUACUGUGCCAUAAUGAGAAGAAACGUCCAGAGAGACUCAACCAAGGACGCGACAAUGCUGUUUCUGGUACUGUGCCAUAAUGAGAAGAAACGUCCAGAGAGACUCGUCCAUGGACGCGACAAUGCUGGUUCUGGUACUGUGCCAUAAUGAGUAAGUACUGGGCUUGAUGUUUUGGGCUCUCUUGCACCAGAUUCAUGUUGUAGCCAUCGAUGAUGGCAAACCCCUUGUAAUGUUGUAGGGGAAAGGCUGGUGUCGCUAAAGGGUUUUCAUAUUAAGACUUAGCCUUAAUGCUUUGUUUGGGGUUGUCUUGAGGAUGAAUCUAUCCCGAACCUGAUUUCAUGUGAAUGAAAUUCUAUCGGAUCUGACUUCUGAAACGCAACCUAUGGUUCUUAGCAUAUCUUAUGCUUUACAAGUCUAGUUUUAGUCUGUAGUCCUUUGCUAACUUCAUAGCUAACAUUAUCUAUAUUUAAAAUAUGCAAGAGUUUAACUUAAAUAUGUUUUUCCCUCAGGAAGAAACGUCCAGAGAGACUCGUCCAUGGACGCGACAAUGCUGGUUCUGGUACUGUGCCAUAAUGAAAAGAAACGUCCAGAGAGACUCGUCCAUGGACGCGACAAUGCUGGUUCUGGUACUGUGCCAUAAUGAAAAGAAACGUCCAGAGAGACUCGUCCAUGGACGCGACAAUGCUGGUUCUGGUACUGUGCCAUAAUGAGUAAGUACUGGGGCUGUUUUGGGCUCUCUUGCACCAGAUUCAUGUUGUAGCCAUCGAUGAUGGCAAACCCCUUGUAUUGUUGUGGGGGAAAGGCUGGUGUUGCUAAAGGGUUUUCAUAUUAAGACUUAGCCUUAAUGCUUUGUUUGGGGUUGUCUUGAGGAUGAAUCUAUCCCGAACCUGAUUUCAUGUGAAUGAAAUUCUAUCGGAUCUGACUUCUGAAACGCAACCUAUGGUUCUUAGCAUAUCUCAUGCUUUACAAGUCUAGUUUUAGUCUGUAGUCCUUUGCUAACUUCAUAGCUAACAUUAUCUAUAUUUAAAAUCUGCAAGAGUUUAACUGAAAUAUUUUUUCCCCUCAGGAAGAAACGUCCAGAGAGACUCGUCCAUGGACGCGACAAUGCUGGUUCUGGUACUGUGCCAUAAUGAGUAAGUACUGGGGCUGUUUUGGGCUCUCUUGCACCAGAUUCAUGUUGUAGCCAUCGAUGAUGGCAAACCCCUUGUAUUGUUGUGGGGGAAAGGCUGGUGUUGCUAAAGGGUUUUCAUAUUAAGACCACAUUUACACAUAGCCGGGUAUUUACAGAAACGAAUAUUUCUGCCCCUCCAUUUUCAAAAAUAACGUCGUACACACAAGAUCGUUU
rnacentral:lncRNA from 1 species